UGCUAAUACCGGAUAAGAAAGCGGAUCGCAUGAUCAGCUUUUAAAAGGCGGCGUAAGCUGUCGCUAUGGGAUGGCCCCGCGGUGCAUUAGCUAGUUGGUAAGGUAAAGGCUUACCAAGGCGAUGAUGCAUAGCCGAGUUGAGAGACUGAUCGGCCACAUUGGGACUGAGACACGGCCCAAACUCCUACGGGAGGCAGCAGUG
rnacentral:rRNA from 1 species